AUUGAACGCUGGCGGCAGGCCUAACACAUGCAAGUCGAACGAGUGGCGGAUGGGUGAGUAAUGUCUGGGAAACUGCCUGAUGGAGGGGGAUAACUACUGGAAACGGUAGCUAAUACCGCAUACCAUCGGAUGUGCCCAGAUGGGAUUAGCUAGUAGGUGGGGUAACGGCUCACCUAGGCGACGAUCCCUAGCUGGGCUGAGAGGAUGACCAGCCACCCUGGAACCUAGACACGGUCAAGACUCCUACGGGAGGCAGCAGUGGGGAAUAGUGCACAAUGGGGGCAAGCCUGAUAGAGCCAAGCCGCGUGUAUGAAGAAGGCCUGCGGGUUGUAAAGUACUUUAAGCGGGGAGACGUUACCCGCAGAAGAGGCACCGGCUAACUCCGUGCCAGCAGCCGCGGUAAUAC
rnacentral:rRNA from 1 species